rnacentral:rRNA from 1 species
GAUCCUGGCUCAGGAUGAACGCUAGCGACAGGCUUAACACAUGCAAGUCGAGGGCAGCAUAAAAGUAGCAAUACUUGGUGGCGACCGGCGCACGGGUGAGUAACGCGUAUGCAACCUACCUAUCAGAGGGGAAUAACCCGGCGAAAGUCGGACUAAUACCGCAUAAAACAGGGGCACCGCAUGGUGAUAUUUGUUAAAGAAAUUCGCUGAUAGAUGGGCAUGCGUUCCAUUAGGUAGUUGGUGAGGUAACGGCUCACCAAGCCGACGAUGGAUAGGGGAACUGAGAGGUUGGUCCCCCACACUGGUACUGAGACACGGACCAGACUCCUACGGGAGGCAGCAGUGAGGAAUAUUGGUCAAUGGGCGGGAGCCUGAACCAGCCAAGUCGCGUGAAGGAAGAAGGAUCUAUGGUUCGUAAACUUCUUUUGCAGGGGAAUAAAGUGCAGGACGUGUCCUGUUUUGUAUGUACCCUGAGAAUAAGGAUCGGCUAACUCCGUGCCAGCAGCGGC